CUGGAAGAUCUGCUCUGCUGGAGUUUUGAAGUGAGCCCAGGAUAUGGCUAUUUCUUUCAGAUCCAGCCCUGACUUGGCAUGCGGGUAGAUACAACAUUGUAGAAGAAGCAUGGUGCUUUUGGGAAAGAUGCCAGUGUUCUGGUCAGAUAUUCUACCUGCAGGAAUCUGUGGAUGUUCAGGAGUACAAGGUUCAUAGAAGCCUUGAGACUUGGUCAUGGACAUCUGCAGCUAUGCAGUUUUGCUUAAGCAGCUCACUGCAGACAACUUCUUGACCAGGCUGUGUGUUUUAGAUGGUCGCUACACAAAUGGAGAUUUCUGAGGAGCUUCUUCUGCAUUGAUCUUUCCUUCGUGGAACUCUGAGGUUAAAUUAACUGCUGACACUGUCACACAGAAUUGCAGUGAAGAUUAAUUCUACCAGGAUUAAGUUCUCUCAUUUUUCAGACUGGAAAAGUCACUUGGUGCUUAGCACCCCCUUGGCAGAGCCACCCCUGAGUUACUAGUGUAGCACCAAAUGACAGUUUAGUUCUUCUAAAAUCCUUUCUAUUGCUUUUUUUUUUUUUUUUUCUUUAUAUAGUAGAUGGCAUAGUGAUAUAUCAGUAGGUUGGUAUGAAAAAUCUUUCCUAUUCAGGGAACUCUAAGCAUUUUCUAAACAAUUUCUGCUUGAGCUGUUGGUUGGUAUCUGCAGGAGUUUUCUUUUCUGUUUCAGCCUUACUUUUUCUUGUAACUUCCCCUUAUGUCACACCCUGUCAGGGUGAUGACAGAUCUCAGUGCUCGAAGCGUCAACCAACACCUGAUACACCCAGAUCUGGGAAAAUCCCUCAAACAGCAGCUGCAGCUCUUGACCUAAACUGAGACUCUCAGAAGCAAACCGCAGGGAACAGCACGCUGGAGGCAUGCUUCCUUCAAGUCGUUCUCACAUCACAGUGCUGUUUACCAGAGGAUGGAAAAGGGAAUUUCUUGACCAUAAUUUUUAUUUGUCUCUCAAUGAUGUGCCCUCAAAGCAUGUCUUGCUGGAGCAACGAAUGAGAGAUGAUAUCGCCAGUAAAGAUCUUCUAUUAUGAAGCUCCAAACAUUUUCCUGAAUAUGUUUUGUAAAUAAAAGCAAAGGAAGAGCUAACAACAAAACAGACUUCGUUCCUGUUUCUCCAUUCCCUCUUUACUGUUUAGUUAGGCGAAGUCACUGCGGGGGAAAAGCUCCAGGAGAUCUCAGAAAAGACAUUACUCCUGCAGUGUUUACAAGCCUCCCUUGAGUAUAAAAUCUAGACCAUUGCACAGGUGGGAGCAAAGGUCUGAGGGCUACUGAAACUCCACAUUUCAGCAAUGCAUCACAUUGGAAAGAAGCACCUGUGUUUCAUAAUUUUGUGCUGACAUGCUGAUUCUGUGGUCUAAAGGCCAGCCACCUUUUGCACCUCACUUUAGCUUGUUUCUGAGAAUCCUUAGAAUCCUGACCUUCAUAGCACGGUUGCAUCUACUGGCAGAGGGGCAGAUGAAGGUUUAAAUUCUGUAAAUGGAAAUGAGUACCUGCCAGUUUGCAGUGCAUCAUGCUUCCUUGCUGAUAAUUAGUUUAUUUGUUCCCAAACGUCAGUAGCCUCAAUAAAAAAUGAAGCUAAAAUUAAGCAUGAAACAGCAUAACGACACUAGCAAUGGAAAGCUGCAAAGAAUUUGAA